CCGUGCUAAGCGGGGAGGUAGCGGUGCCCUGUACUCGCAAUCCGCUCUAGCGAGGCCGAAUUCCUUCUAGAGGUUAGCAUACUGUAGGGCUGCCUCAAGUAAGUGGUGUUGACGCCUGGGUCCUGCGCAAUGGGAAUCCAUGAACCAUGUCAGGUCCGGAAGGAAGCAGCAUUAAGUGGAAGCUCUCAUGUGCCGCAGGGUCGCCUGGGUCGAGCUAACUGCUUGAGUAACGCCUAUGGGUGCUAAUCGAAGGAAGGUGCACGG
rfam:Bacillus sp. SA1-12 scf7180000003391, whole genome shotgun sequence.